rnacentral:rRNA from 1 species
UACGGAGAGGGCUAGCGUUGUUCGGAAUUACUGGGCGUAAAGCGCGCGUAGGCGGACCUGCAAGUCGGGGGUGAAAGCCCGAGGCUCAACCUCGGAACUGCCUUCGAUACUGCGGGUCUCGAGUCCGGGAGAGGUGAGUGGAAUUCCUAGUGUAGAGGUGAAAUUCGUAGAUAUUAGGAAGAACACCAGUGGCGAAGGCGGCUCACUGGCCCGGUACUGACGCUGAGGCGCGAAAGCGUGGGGAUCAAACAGG